GGGCUAUAGAAAUUCAUCACUGCUACAGGGAAAAGAUGUGAUUUGUUGGCAAAUUUUCAGUUAAUUUUUUGGUAAUUUGAGCAGAGUAGAUUAGAUUUUGGAUAUUUUCCUAUGAAGAAUCGGCGAACCAAAGUCGUUCUCCGGCACUUGCCGCCGACACUUUCUCAGUCUAUGCUUCUGGAGCAUGUUGAUUCUCGCUUUGCUGGUCGAUACAAUUGGUUCAAUUUUCGCCCAGCCAAGACCAGCCUGAAGCAUCAAAGCUAUUCAAAAGCCUAUAUUGACUUUCGGAAUAUGGAAGAUGUCACUGAGUUUGCUGAGUUCUUUGAUGGACACAUGUUUGUCAAUGAGAAAGGCACUCAGUUCAAAACAAUUGUCGAGUAUGCUCCUUCUCAGCGUGUCCCAAAGCACUGGCUCAAGAAGGAUGCCCGUGAAGGGACCAUAUUGAAAGAUCCUGCAUAUAUGGAGUUCCUUGAAUUUCUUGCAAAGCCUGUUGAGAAUCUGCCGAGCGCUGAGAUACAAUUGGAGAGAAAGGAAGCUGAACGAGCUGGCUCAGCAAAGGAUGCUCCUAUAGUUACU
rnacentral:misc_RNA from 1 species